rnacentral:rRNA from 1 species
UACGUAGGGUGCAAGCGUUGUCCGGAAUUAUUGGGCGUAAAGAGCUCGUAGGCGGUUUGGUUAGUCAGGUGUGAAAUCUCCACGCUCAACGUGGAGGGGCCACCUGAUACUGCCAUGACUUGAGUCCGGUAGGGGAGUGUGGAAUUCCCGGUGUAGCGGUGAAAUGCGCAGAUAUCAGGAAGAACACCAAUGGCGAAGGCAGCUCUCUGGGACGGUACUGACGCUGAGACGCGAAAGCGUGGGGAGCGAACAGG